UACGAAGGGGGCUAGCGUUGCUCGGAAUCACUGGGCGUAAAGGGUGCGUAGGCGGGUCUUUAAGUCAGGGGUGAAAUCCUGGGGCUCAACUCCAGAACUGCCUUUGAUACUGAGGAUCUUGAGUUCGGGAGAGGUGAGUGGAACUGCGAGUGUAGAGGUGAAAUUCGUAGAUAUUGGGAAGAACACCGGUGGCGAAGGCGGCUCACUGGCCCGUAACUGACGCUCAUGCACGACAGCGUGGGGAUCAAACAGG
rnacentral:rRNA from 1 species